CAGGGUGGACGCCAAAUCCUUCACCCGGCCUUCACCGUCCAGCCCGGCUCUGACUGCUUUGCUGGUUUUAUCCCGUGUCAACCUACCUAUGGCUGCACCGAGAGACCUGAUCUUUAUCUUCUGAACUAUUAGGAUGUCCUUCCCGGCUCCUGCCAACUAGCUAAUCGCUUUUCCUCCAGGUAUUUCUGGAGCAUUUGUCUUCGUUGAUCACUUAGAAGAGACUUUGCUGAUCCUAAGCAGGGGGCAAAAUAGCAUAUAAAAGAUCACUUGCGCUGGGGAAGUCAGUGGCCAUGUGGUGCCUUAAGGAGACUCAAGCAGCCCUAUGGAGAUGCCACAUGACGAAGAACUAAGGCCUCCUGCCAAAAAGCCAGCAUCCACUUGCCAGUCAUGUGAGUGAGUCAUCUUGGAAACAGCUCCUCCAGCCUCAGUCAAGCUUCAGAGGCAUCCCUGGAUGACACCUUGACUGCAACCUGCAGGACCACCCGGCUGAGCAGCACCCAAAUUCCUGACCCCCAAAAAUUGUAUGAAAUAAUAAAUGCUUGUUGUUUUAAACCAUGA
rnacentral:lncRNA from 1 species